GACGGAGGGUGCAAGCGUUGUCCGGAUUCAUUGGGCGUAAAGCGCGCGUAGGCGGCCCGGCAAGUCGGAUGUGAAAACCUGGGGCUCAACCCCAGGCGUGCACCCGAUACUCCCGGGCUGGAGGCAGGUAGGGGAGAUCGGAAUUCCUGGUGUAGCGGUGAAAUGCGCAGAUAUCAGGAGGAACACCGGUGGCGAAGGCGGAUCUCUGGGCCUUGCCUGACGCUGAGGCGCGAAAGCUAGGGGAGCGAACAGG
rnacentral:rRNA from 1 species